CCUACGGGAGGCAGCAGUAAGGAAUCUUCCACAAUGGACGAAAGUCUGAUGGAGCAACGCCGCGUGCAGGAUGAAGGCUUUCGGGUCGUAAACUGCUUUUAUAUGGGAAGAUUAUGACGGUACCAUAUGAAUAAGGACCGGCUAACUACGUGCCAGCAGCCGCGGUAAUACGUAGGGUCCAAGCGAUAUCCGGAAUUACUGGGCGUAAAGCGUGUGUAGGUGGAUUAAUAAGUGUGAUGCGAAAUCCGGCGGCUCAACCGUUUGGACUGUGUCGCAUACUGUUAGUCUAGAGGACGGCAGAGGUAAGUGGAAUUACGGGUGUAGCAGUGAAAUGCGUAGAUAUCCGUAGGAACACCAAUGGCGAAGGCAGCUUACUGGGCCACACCUGACACUGAGACACGAAAGCGUGGGGAGCGAACAGGAUUAGAUACCCUGGUAGUCCACGCCGUAAACGAUGCAUACUAUUAGUAUGGGGUAUCGACCCCCUGUGCUGAGAAGCUAACGCGAUAAGUAUGCCGCCGUCGGGAGGUACGAGCGCGAGACUAAACUAACAAAUAGUAAGUUAGACGGCGUGAGACGUAGCCGAACGGACGACCGACCGAAGGGAAGGUUAGGGAGG
rnacentral:rRNA from 1 species